rfam:Homo sapiens chromosome 19, GRCh38 reference primary assembly.
GCCGGGCGUGGUUGUGCGCACCUGUAGUCCCAGCUACUCAGGAGGCUGAGGCAGGGGAAUUGCUUGAACCCAGGAGGCUGAGGUUGCAGUGAGCCGAGAUCACAUCACUGCACUCCAGCCUGGGCAACAGAGCAAGACUCUGUCUCAA